UUAUAAUAAUGUGGGGUUCUUUCUGUCAACUGUUAUAAAACUAUUUUUGGUAAAGGGGAUACUAUAGAUACAUUUAUUUAAAAUACAGCUCUCUUUAUACAUUAAAAUAUACAUUGCAAGUUUCAGCUUUCUUACUUAUAGGUAACUGAAGUUUUUUCACACUAUAAAACUAUAAUCAGUUAAUAAAUAUAAGCGUUAUUUUAUAUCCGAGAAAACAGCAGCUUCCCCGUUCAGUUGUGUCUGUUUAUAGCGCACUGAUGACCAGAUUAAAGAUGGCGGCCGCGUUGACGUAUCAGAGCAACACCGAAGCAGACCACGAGGCGUCUAGCUAUUUAUUACAUAUAUAUGAUUUAGCCUAUAUUUUGAGACACUAAAGUUGAGACUACAUUGCUCUCUGGUGGCCUUAACUGAACUAUAUAUUUUUCAGAGAUUACAUACAUGUUAGAUACAGAUUAUAUAUGUCUGAAAAAUAAGACACACAUGCAUAAAAUAGAAUAUAAACAUACAAAAGUUAAUCAAACUAAGAAUUAAAGUUGCUAUUAUUUACUCAAAAGAUAAUAUAAUCAAAAGAUAGUGUUACAGGGACCCACAUACUUAAAAUUAUUAGUAUUAUUAUUAUAUUCUACAGUGCUUCACGAAAAUUGCGCACUGCACCUUUAAGAUAAUUGAAUAAGGCGGCGUAUUGGCGUUGCUGUGGUUACCAUAUUCAGUGGCGUUCUAAAAAAGAAUGUGUUCGAAAAACCGUCGAUGACGUUGAGAAACUGGUGUGACCUGCAUUAAGUUUCUGGCCAUCGCUGACAUUGGACGAUUGGAAUGGACCACAUGGAGAAAAAGGGAAUCACACAUCUCAGCAACAACUGGAAAUUGAUAGUCAGGAAUUUCUUU